UCCUCUUCCGGCCGACUCCGGACGUAAUCCGGCCACCCCCAAGCUCGGUUUCUUCCCCCGGUCACGUCCCUGGAGGUAUCUUUGGACGAUUUGGCCGGAAAAGCUCGGAUCGAAGGAAAUUCCUCCCCGGUUGCAGUUUUGGGAUUUUGCCGAUUUCCGGCCAUUCCGGCCACCUCCGGCCGCCAUAUUCCCAUCGAAGGGUUCUUGGAGCUUCGGGGCUUUCCUUCACCGGCUCGAUUCGGCCACUUAGAGGACGAGAGGAGUCUCCAUACGAGGAGAACCACGAGCGACGUCAGGAUUGACCGCAUAUUAUUGCAGUACUGUUGCUCGGUGUACGAGGGUGAGCCAUAGUGACCGUACCUGCUUCCGCCAUCACAUUCUGUAGGUUACCUGGUUAACCUACUGUAUUCCUUGUCUAUUUAUAUUCCUAGAAUGCUCUGAUUACUAAGGGAUAUGUGACCCAACUUAUAUGUAUUAUAUUUGAGGUCUAUGGCCUAACUUUGGUGAUUGUAGU